CGCAAUCCUCUUUUGCAUAUUCAAUUAGCUGAGGAAAAGAAACCAACAGGGAUUGCCUCAGUAACGGCGAGUGAAGCGGCAAAAGCUCAAAUUUGAAAUCCCCCCGGGGAGUUGUAAUUUGAAGAUUGCGUCUUGGAGGCGACCGUGUCUAUGUUCCUUGGAACAGGACGUCACAGAGGGUGAGAAUCCCGUGCGGCACGGCCCCCGGCUCCUUAUAAGGCGCUCUCGACGAGUCGAGUUGUUUGGGAAUGCAGCUCAAAGUGGGUGGUAAAUUCCAUCUAAAGCUAAAUACAGGCGAGAGACCGAUAGCGAACAAGUACAGUGAUGGAAAGAUGAAAAGCACUUUGAAAAGAGAGUGAAACAGCACGUGAAAUUGUUGAAAGGGAAGGGCAUGCCGUCAGAUUGUCAGUGUGGGUAAGAAGCGGGGUACAAAGACUGUGGAACGUGGCCCUCGGGUGUUAUAGCCGCAGUUCAUGCCCCGUCUCUUUCCGAGGCCUGCUUUGAGGACACCGACGUAAUGACGGUACGCCGCCCGUCUAAAAACCCGGGAACAA
rnacentral:rRNA from 1 species